GUGAGGGGAGUUCCUUACUGAGACCCAGACAACCAGGUGAGGGGAUUUCCUUACUGAGACAACCAGGUGAGGGGAGUUCCUUACUGAGACCUAGACAACCAGGUGAGAGGAGUUCCUUACUGAGACAACCAGGUGAGGGGAGUUCCUUACUGAGACAACCAGGUGAGGGGAGUUCCUUACUGAGACAACCAGGUGAGAGGAGUUCCUUACUGAGACCUAGACAACCAGGUGAGGGGAGUUCCUUACUAAUUAGUGACCUUAAUUAAUCAACCAUGUACUAGGGAGUACACUUGGCCCUCUGUGG
ensembl:lncRNA